AGAGCGAACGCUGGCGGCAGGCCUAACACAUGCAAGUCGAGCGCGUGUAGCAAUACACGAGCGGCAGACGGGAGAGUAACACGUGGGAACGCGCCCUUCGGUUCGGAAUAACUCAGGGAAACUUGAGCUAAUACCGGAUACGCCCUUACGGGGAAAGAUUUAUUGCCGAAGGAACGGCCCGCGUCCGAUUAGCUAGUUGGUGAGGUAACGGCUCACCAAGACGACGAUCGGUAGCUGGUCUGAGAGGAUGACCAGCCUCACUGGGACUGAGACACGGCCCAGACUCCUACGGGAGGCAGCAGUGGGGAAUAUUGGACAAUGGGCGCAAGCCUGAUCCAGCCAUGCCGCGUGGAUGAUGAAGGCCUUAGGGUUGUAAAGUCCUUUUUAACGGGGAAGAUAAUGACGGUACCCGUAGAAUAAGCCCCGGCUAACUUCGUGCCAGCAGCCGC
rnacentral:rRNA from 1 species